rnacentral:rRNA from 1 species
UACAGGGGUGCAAACGUUGCUCGGAAUCAUUGGGCGUAAAGCGCACGUAGGCGGUUCGUUAUGUCGGAUGUGAAAGCCCUUGGCUUAACCGAGGAAGUGCAUCCGAAACUGGCGAGCUAGAGUACGAAAGAGGAUCGCGGAAUUCCCGGUGUAGAGGUGAAAUUCGUAGAUAUCGGGAGGAACACCAGUGGCGAAGGCGGCGAUCUGGGUCGAUACUGACACUGAGGCACGAAAGCGUGGGGAGCAAACAGG